UGCCAGCAGCCGCGGUAAUACGAACUGUGCAAACGUUAUUCGGAAUCACUGGGCUUAAAGGGUGCGUAGGCGGGUUUAAAGGUCUGAUGUGAAAGCCCACGGCUCAACCGUGGAAUUGCGUUGGAAACCAUAAGCCUUGAGGAGAUCAGAGGUGAGCGGAACUGAUGGUGGAGCGGUGAAAUGCGUUGAUAUCAUCAGGAACACCGGUGGCGAAAGCGGCUCACUGGGAUCUUUCUGACGCUGAGGCACGAAAGCUAGGGGAGCGAACGGGAUUAGAUA
rnacentral:rRNA from 1 species